CACCACCAGGAGUGGAGCUUGCGGCUUAAUUUGACUCAACACGGGAAAUCUCACCCGGCCAGUACAUCGUAAGGAUUGACAGACUGACAGCUCUUUCAUGAUUCGGUGAAUGGUGGUGCAUGGCCGUUCUUAGUUCGUGGAUUGAUUUGUCUGGUUUAUUCCGAUAACGAACGAGACUUUAACUAUUAAAUAGUGCGCUUGUUGUUUUGCAAGCGAUCACUUCUUAAAGGAAUUUGUGGUGUUUAGCCUUAAGAAAUUGAGCAAUAACAGGUCUGUGAUGCCCUUAGAUGUUCGGGGCCGCACGCGUGCUACAAUGAUGGUAACAGCGUGAUUGUCCUUUCCCGACAGGGAUUGGCAAACAGUUGAGAUAUUAUUAUGGCUGGAAUUGAGUGUUGAAAUUUUCCCUCAUGAACGAGGAAUUCCAAGUAAAUGUGAGUCAUUAACUUGCAUUGAUUACGUCCCUGCCCUUUGUACACACCGCCCGUCGCUGCCCGGGACUGAGUUACUUCGAGAAAACUAGGGAUCGUUGGAGUUUGAUAUUUCGGUAUCAUCUUCGAUGCGAACUAGUUUAAUCGCAGUGGCUUGAACCGGGCAAAAGUCGUAACAAG
rnacentral:rRNA from 1 species